UUUUUUUAUUUGGGGAUGAAGUGCGCAGGAGUUUUGUAGUGUGGGUGAUGAUGCUUGUCUUAUUCUGUGGGAUGCUCGAACUGGCACUGUCCCAGCUGUUAAGGUUGAGAAAGCUCACAGUGGAGAUGUUCAUUGUGUUGAUUGGAAUCCCCUUGAUGUUAACUAUAUCUUAACUGGGUAUGACG